AGAGGAAUAUGUGGAUGAGUUUUGCACCUUAAACUGCCUCAUACCUCAAGCCACAGCAUUUGCGGCUCCCCCAUGCCCCCCUCCCAUCCCCUUCUUAGGAGAGCCUUUAAUAUGUAAAUGCCAGUGAUCAGGUCGGGAGCUGCUACAGUCAAUUUCAAGUGGGGUGGGGUGGGGUGAGGUCAGGUGGGUGGGAGGGAGUGGGGGGUCGGCAGGCCUGUUUCUAGGAUUUUGGGGUCCCUAGGCAACGGGAUUGUUGGGGGCCCUAGGGCAUUUUUUGGCCUUUUACUAAAAUGUGUGUGUGUGUGUGUGUGUGUGUGUGUGUGUGUGUGUGUGUGUGUGUGUGUCUGUAUGUAUGUUUGUUCACGCUGCCCAGUGGUGUUUUUCAGAAUCACUAACCAUUAAACCAGGGGUAGUGAACCUAUGUCUCGAGGGCCCUUGAGGCCGUUUUAUCCGGCCCCUGAUAUCAUUAUAAUGUUUUGCAACUUCACAUGAAAUAGGCCUAUGACAUAUUUUGCAGGCCUAAAGGAAUCUUAGAAAUUACAUUUCCAAUGCAAUUAAGUUAGGCCUAUAUUCAGGGGACCUAGAAAAGGUGGGGACUGUUUUAAAUGUGUCUACCUUUAAAGGUGUCUAUAUGUCUAUAUAGGCCUAAAGGUGUCUAUAUAUGCCUAAAUUUCAUGGGGAAAUCCUGAUUUGUGUUCAUAGUACGGCCCCCGGAGGAUUUUAUGACCAUGGUAGGAAUUUGAAGUGGCCCUUCGAAUGAAAAAGGUUCCCCACCCCUGCAUUAAACCUUUCUUCUAGCCACAGCUCUGCUGUCAGUACAUUUUAUUAUGAUACUAUAAGCUCAGAAAUGAAGUUGAUCGAACAAUUCGAUCGGUGCUAUAAACAUUUAAAUGAACCGAAUAGAAAUCAGAAUAGAAACAUCUGAAUGAUCUUUCUUGGACAUAGCCUACAUUUUGAAGUGACCCUUUGAAUUAAAAAGGUUCCUCACCCCUGCUUUUGAGGAAAAACAUCAAUGUGCUUGGCCACUCUGGUUUUUAAAUUAUUCUGAACUAAAGCAAGGAUUGUUCAAGGAAGUUCAAAACAGACUGUCUCUGGUUAAAUUAGUUCUACACCAAGCCUUUAGGUGGCAGUACAACUAAUUCGCACAAUGCGAAUUCCACACACAAGCCACAAAGAAGCCAUCUACCGCGGUCAACAACACCGACCUAUCUGAACAGAACCACGCGCUGUCUGUGUGGUUUCACUGUUACAAGUUUCUUGGCGACAUGGGGGAAAGUUCCUCACAUACCAACGGAAAAUGGGCUUCACAUACAUGUAAGUAAAUUUUACUCAACUGUGGUUUAAAGUUUCAGUACUCAAGAGCGAUUGAAUAGCUCCUCUGAACACAGAUCCGCCAUUGCUAAGUUGUAGCACAAGUCCCCUCAAUGAAUGUGACUACUCUUGUUGCUGCUGUACGCUAGUCAAUUCUGAUAACUUGCGAGCAUCGUAAUGACAAAAUGCAGUAGUGAAACGGUGAAUAUGUUAAGUAUACUUGUUGAUGGUAAGUUGUUUGACAUUGCUCGUUCUCAAUUGCCUUUCCCCUGCCUAAAGAUGAUUCCCAGUUUGUCGCUCCCAGCGCGGUUCGAUCCCCAGUCGGUUCGCUCCCACUAGCCAGACUAUCGAGCCCACCGAGCUAGUUAUCUUUUUGAUGUUAGUUUUUUGUUACGUACCCUAAACCUAACCCUUACCUUAAUCCUAAACCUAACCCUAAAUUGCUUGUAUGUGGUAGUGUAUGAUAAUACGAGAAAUGUAAUCGGGUGGGAUAGAACGCCUGGGAUUGAUAGGGUCACCUGGGACUACACGUCCGGGAGUGAUCUUACAUGGGAGUGACCAUCUCCCAGCGCUUAAGAUUGACAAAGGCUACCGUUAGCAUGCUAUUGCGUUAGCUCAUCAACUAGUUGCUGGGCACUGCUCAUUUUUCACGUCUGCCCGGCAUUUCGCUGAUGAACUAACGCUUGGACGUCUUGCCAAUGUAUUUUACAGCGGCAAAAAUGCAUCUAGGCGACGUUGGCAAGAUUGGUGUGCCGUCUGGGUAUGUUGGUUUUCAGUGCUGGGCAGUAGCGAAGCGACUAGUUUAAUUACAUUCCCUAGAAGCUUGGUCGUAGCGUCAUUACUAUGUAUCGACUAACGUCCCUGUAGUUAGGAAAUAAAUAGUUUGGAAAUCAAUGUGAAAUACCCUGGCAUUUGCAACAGUAGGCAACCUGUCCUUAAAAAGUAUGGGCCCUCAAAACAGCACUUGUUGCACAAAUAAGUGUUGCAUAGAGCAGUCUUUCCCAACCAGCACCCUGCAGGGGGUACUUGGAAAAAUGAAAACAUGUAUGGAGCAUAGUCACAUUGGGAUAUAAAGCAUGAGUCAGGGGGUACUUGUGGUAUGAGAAAAGGCUUAGGGGGUACUUAAGACAAAAAAAAGGUUGGGAAACACUGGCAUAGAGCACGCCACCCCGAAAUCAAUGUGAAAUACCCUGGCAUUUGCAACAGUAGGCAGCAUGUCCUUAAAACGUAUGGGUCCUCAAAACAGCACUUGUUGCACAAAUAAGUGUAGCUGGCCUCUUCAAGAAAUUGAAAUUAUGCAUGGUCACUUUUUCUUAUUGUUUCACGUGGAGGUCUACUGACAUUGUCUAAAUAAUGUAGGCUAGUUUAUGUCCAUGUAUUAUAUUAGGACCCAAGGUUAAUGGGUUAUUCUGUUUACCAUGUUUUCACAGGCUGCUGUCUCAUAAUAUGGCGAAGACGAGUCACUUGAAGGCCUAACAGCUCUUAUGAGGAGCAGUCUUGCCAUAGAAGACUGAAAGAAUGAGCUGUAGAAACAACAGGGUGCCUGCUGCAGUAUGACGAGGACGCCCUGAUCAUAGAAGGUCCAGUGUCUUGGCAGGGUGAAAUGGCACUGAUAUCGUGUCCUGCAGGAUGCUGUGUCCUGCAAUCCUGUGUGCUGUGCUACAGACGCGUGUGGAGGUCAACCCGAAAUGGGCACAGUAGCGUGAAAGAGGAUCCUGGCAGGGAGACGGUAGUGUCCUGCAGGAUGGUGAUGGGCAAUCUUACAAGAGACCACAGAAAACUGAUAUAGUGUAAGAUUAUCCCUGUUGGGCUCAAUAUGUCUUGCUUAUUGAUAUAUUUGCUAUGUCAAUAUGAGGUGCAUGACGAAGUAUUUAUUUAUUUGUUGUUUCUACAGCUCCCAGAAGUGAGACCUGAGUGCCUGUUGCAGUAUGACGAGGAAGCAGUGACCAGAGACCUUCAGUAGACCCUGCUGGCAUGAUUGGCGGCUGAAGAACAUAAUCAACAGCAAUGUUUAUAAUAUUGUACAUACCUGUAUAGUCUGCACUAAAAUGCUGUACCUGUACUAUUUUUCCUCUUACUUUCAUAUUUACUAUGAAUUGACAACUUUUACUCAAAUCCAUUUUUGUAUGUGCCCUGACUAAAACUAUCCUUAAACCUAACCUGUCAGAGGUGUAAUAACAACCUGCUCUUAGCAAUGUGGCAGCAGUCUACUUGGAUGCAGCGGGGAACAUAGAACCCUUUUUUUGAAAAAGCAUUGUAUGUUUCUGAGUUUUAUGAAUUGUGCCCUUCCCAAACCUAACCUGUCGUAGGGGCCUAUGAAAUCCGUUUUUUUUAAUUAUUAUUAUUUACAUUUUUGA